GAGACAGAGGGGGGGCAGUGUGUGAAUGAGAGCGAGCGAGCGAGAGCGCAAGAGAGGAGAGAGGACCAGAGCAUCUUUCUUGGAGCAUCCCUAUAGGGUACCAUCCCGGCGCCAUGAGUAAGCUCAGCUCCAAUGAGUCACCGUCCCCCAGUGAGAUUCCAGGCCAGGAAGAAAAAGACAAAGCGGGGAGUGCCAAGAAGGUGGUAGAAGCAGAAGAGGAGGAAGUAGACAUUGACCUGAAUGCGCCCGAGACGGAGAAGGCCGCCCUCGCCAUCCAAGGGAAGUUCCGGCGCUUCCAGAAACGGAAAAAGGACCCCAGUCCCUGAACAGCAGCAGCUGCAGCGGGCACCAAACCCACCUCUCCCGUCUCCCAUGCCACCCCCCACCCCUCCGCCACGAGACACAGCCUGCCUUACCCUAACGUCCCCUUAUCCUACCCAUAUUAGCGGGUCUCAUUUCCCUAUUACCAAGCCCUGAGCUAAACCUACAGCCCAGUGACAAGGGCCCCGCAAUCCUACCGACGGGAAAGUAAUGUCCUUCACGAGAUCCACGCACCCUCUGCUCCAGGGCCAGCCUGCUGUUGGGCCAGAAACCGCUCCAAAGAUGGCCGCCACAUAACUCUCGAGCACUGGCAAGCCGCUCCACCACCCCUACUCCGGUUGCGGAAAACCUCCAACGGGCCCCUCUGCAAAUGGCAAUCGGCGUCACCACGGGGCACUGACAGAAGCUGCUUUGUGGACUGACUUUUAGCAUGUUAAUAAAAUAAUCAGGGGGGAAAUG